rnacentral:lncRNA from 1 species
CUUUUCUCUUCAAAGUGUUGAAGAAAUCAUGAAGAUCGUGGAAGAGGCAAAAAUUCCCCCACCGGUAUCCAGAUCUAUUGGAGGCUUUGGCUGGGAAGGAGAAGAAGAUGGUGACAUGAAGGAAGAUGAUGCAGAGGCUCAUGAAGAAAAAAUCGAUAACGGGGAGGAUGAGUAUGAGAAGAGAGUUAAGGAGGCACAAGCAAGUGGGGAGUUUCAUGUGAGUUAAGAUCCAUCCUCUCUUCCUUGCACAUUCACGGUCUUAACCUCAUCCUUUGGAUAUUUAUAGGAUCCUUUGAAGCUUUGUGUAAAACUGUG